AUUUUCUGACAAACACAAACAAAAUCUUUCCUUUUUAACAACAUUUCACAUACGACACAAGGUCCAAUCCAUCAGGGCAUUGAGAAUCAACAAUAAAUCAUACAGAUCCAAGCUUGUAUACACAAUAAAGUCCGUUCUUUUAAAUUCCUCUAUUUUCAUUUCAUUAUUUCGCACCAAAGCCAAAUUUAUAGAUUCAUAAUCUUCUCAAUGUCAAUACCAGCAAACAAAACAAACAAAAGGGUCAUUGAAAAACUUACCCAAAACAGAUCAAAUCUAACAAGGGUCAGAUCUAGAGAAUUAAAAAAGACAAACUAUAGAACCAAAACAAGACUAAUCCCGUCCGAAUCCAGAUCAAGAUCUACAACAAUAAUAACAAAAGCAAUAAAGGGAGGGGG